GUUUUUCUAGUAUAUAAGUAUAGUUGACUUCCAAUCAACAGGACUGAGACCUCUCAGGAAUAACA
rnacentral:tRNA from 1 species